rnacentral:rRNA from 1 species
UACGUAGGUGGCAAGCGUUAUCCGGAAUUAUUGGGCGUAAAGGGAGCGUAGACGGCAGCACAAGUCUGGAGUGAAAUCCCAUGGCUUAACCAUGGAACUGCUUUGGAAACUGUGCAGCUGGAGUGCAGGAGAGGUAAGCGGAAUUCCUAGUGUAGCGGUGAAAUGCGUAGAUAUUAGGAGGAACACCAGUGGCGAAGGCGGCUUACUGGACUGUAACUGACGUUGAGGCUCGAAAGCGUGGGGAGCAAACAGG